rnacentral:rRNA from 1 species
UCCUACGGGGCGCAGCAGUGGGGAAUAUUGGACAAUGGGGGAAACCCUGAUCCAGCGACGCCGCGUGAGUGAAGAAGUAUUUCGGUACGUAAAGCUCUAUCAGCAGGAAAGAAAAUGACGGUACCUGACUAAGAAGCCCCGGCUAACUACGUGCCAGCAGCCGCGGUAAUACGUAGGGGGCGAGCGUUAUCCGGAUUUACUGGGUGUAAAGGGAGCGUAGACGGCGUCGCAAGUCUGAAGUGAAAGCCCGUGGCUCAACCGCGGAACCGCUUUGGAAACUGCGAGGCUGGAGUGCUGGAGAGGUA